rnacentral:lncRNA from 1 species
AUGAACAAAGCUAGUGGAGGUGAUGGAAUUCCAGUUGAGCUAUUUCAAAUCCUGAAAGAUGAUGCUGUGAAAGUGCUGCACUCAAUAUGCCAGCAAAUUUGGAAAACUCAGCAGUGGCCAGAAGACUGGAAAAGGUCAGUUUUCAUUCCAAUCCCAAAGAAAGGCAAUGCCAAAGAAUGCUCAAGCUACCGCACAAUUGCACUCAUCUCACAUGCUAGUAAAGUAAUGCUCAAAAUUCUCCAAGCCAGGCUUCAGCAAUAUGUGAACCGUGAACUUCCUGAUGUUCAAGCUGGUUUUAGAAAAGGCAGAGGAACCAGAGAUCAAAUCACCAACUUCCGCUGGAUCAUGGAAAAAGCAAGAGAGUUCCAGAAAAACACCUAUUUCUGUUUUAUUGACUAUGCCAAAGCCUUCGACUGUGUGGAUCACAAUAAACUGUGGAAAAUUCUUCAAGAGAUGGGAAUACCAGACCACCUGACCUGCCUCUUGAGAAACCUCUAUGCAGGUCAGGAAGCAACAGUUAGAACUGGACAUGGAACAACAGACUGGUUCCAAAUAAAAAUAGGAGUGUGUCAAGGCUGUAUAUUGUCACCCUGCUUAUUUAACAUAUAUGCAGAGUACAUCAUGAUAAAUGCUGGGCUGAAAGAAGCACAAGCUGGAAUCAAGAUUGCUGGGAGAAAUAUCAAUAACAUCAGAUAUACAGAUGAUACCUCCCUUACGACAGAAAGUAAAGAGGAACUCAAAAGCCUCUUGAUGAAAGUGAAAGAGGAGAGUGAAAAACUUGGCUUAAAGCUCAACAUUCAGAAAAUGAAGAUCAUGGCAUCUGGUUCCAUCACUUCAUGGGAAAUAGAUGGGGAAACACUGGAAAUAGUGUCAGACUUUAUUUUGGGGGGCUCCAAAAUCACUGCAGAUGGUGAUUACAGCCAUGAAAUUAAAAGACACUUACUCCUUGGAAGGAAAGUUAUGAGCAACCUAGAUAGCAUAUUGAAAAGCAGAGACAUUACUUUGCCAACAAAGGUCCAUCUAGUCAAGUCUAUGGUUUUCCCAGUAGUCAUGUAUGGAUGUGAGAGCUGGACUAUGAAGAAAGCUGAGCGCCGAAGAAUUGAUGCUUUUGAACUGUGGUGUUGGAGAAGACUCUUGAGAGUCCCUUGA